CCUACGGGAGGCAGCAGUGAGGAAUAUUGGUCAAUGGACGAGAGUCUGAACCAGCCAAGUAGCGUGAAGGAUGACUGCCCUAUGGGUUGUAAACUUCUUUUAUAAAGGAAUAAAACGACGCACGUGUGCCUUUUUGCAUGUACUUUAUGAAUAAGGAUCGGCUAACUCCGUGCCAGCAGCCGCGGUAAUACGGAGGAUCCGAGCGUUAUCCGGAUUUAUUGGGUUUAAAGGGAGCGUAGAUGGGUUGUUAAGUCAGUUGUGAAAGUUUGCGGCUCAACCGUAAAAUUGCAAUUGAUACUGGCAGUCUUGAGUACAGUUGAGGUAGGCGGAAUUCGUGGUGUAGCGGUGAAAUGCUUAGAUAUCACGAAGAACCCCGAUUGCGAAGGCAGCUUGCUAAACUGUGACUGACAUUGAUGCUCGAAAGUGUGGGUAUCAAACAGGAUUAGAUACCCUUGUAGUC
rnacentral:rRNA from 1 species